CGUAGGAAGAUGAACUUAUACCAUUAAGAUAUAGUGUGCGUAUAUAUAUAUGCCUUGGUAUAAAACUGCCGGAUUUAGAGCGAUAAAAUGAAGUUUAAUAGAGUGCUGCGUUACCUUAUAUAGGUGUUGCGAUGGCUAGAUUCGUUGCCAAUUGAGUGGUGGCUUAAAAGUCCACCUCAAACCUUCUUCUAACAACCUUCUUGAUUCUUCUUAUUUUCUCUCUAUCGUAUUCAAAAUUUUCCAUGCUCUAGUUUCAUUUUAUAUUCAAACCAAACUCAAUCUCAGAAACCCUAAUUUUAUCAGCAGACUCGAUCCAUCAAUUAUUCAUUCCACAGAGAGACAGAGAGGGAAAGGGAUCAUCAAAUCGGAGCAUACCCAUUCAUAUGGAAAGGAUAGUGGGAGGGAAGUAUAAGCUAGGUCGCAAGAUCGGAAGCGGAUCGUUUGGUGAAAUCUAUCUGGCUACUCACGUCGAUAGUUUUGAGAUAGUUGCUGUCAAAAUUGAGAAUAGCAAGACAAAACACCCUCAGUUGCUUUACGAGGCCAAGCUAUAUAAUAUUCUUCAGGGAGGAAGUGGUAUUGCAAACACAAAAUGGUGUGGUGUAGAUGGAGAAGACAAUAUCCUUGUCCUUGACCUGCUAGGACCGAGUCUUGAAGACCUGUUUGUUUACUGUGGGAGGAGGUUCUCACUGAAAACAGUGUUAAUGUUGGCUGAUCAGAUGAUUCCGAGAAUAGAAUAUAUGCAUUCUAAAGGGUUUUUGCAUAGAGACAUCAAACCAGAUAAUUUCCUCAUGGGUCUUGGCCGGAAAGCAAAUCAGGUUUACAUUAUUGAUUUUGGGCUAGCAAAAAGAUAUCGUGAUUCUACUACGAACCGUCAUAUCCCGUACAGAGAGAAUAAAAACUUAACAGGGACUGCACGAUAUGCAAGUUGCAAUACUCAUUUAGGAAUUGAACAAAGCCGUCGCGAUGAUUUGGAAUCCCUUGGCUACGUUCUUUUGUACUUUUUGAGAGGAAGCCUUCCAUGGCAGGGUCUAAAAGCUGCAACAAAAAAGCAAAAAUAUGACAAAAUAUGUGAGAAGAAGUUAUCUACUCCCAUUGAGGUUUUAUGCAAGUCUCAUCCGGUGGAGUUUGCAUCCUACUUCCAUUAUUGCCACUCUUUAACAUUUGAUCAGCGGCCUGAUUAUGGAUUCUUGAGGCGCCUAUUUCGUGACUUGUUUACUCGUGAAGGUUUCCAAUUUGAUUACAUAUUUGAUUGGACUAUCCUAAAGUACCAGCAAGCGCAAAGGACAAAGACACAGCCCCAAUCCUCUAAUUUGCAGCCACUUUCUGGAGUGAACAGCAAGAAAGCAGUGCCAAUGGAUUUGGGUAAGCAUCAAGGUAAGCUUUUGGCAGGAGGCAAUGAUGCUUCUUUUUCAGCUGCAGCUACAGACCGCAGAGAAAGUGGUUUCAUGCAUGCUGGUGGUCAUAUGCAUUCUAGAUCGGGAGUAGCAUAUAAUUCAAAUGCUGAUAAUCCCAUCCAGAAACAUAGUAUAAGCAAUGCGGCAAUGCCAUCUACUUCGUUUUCGUUGGCCAGCACCUUGGAAAGAAAUCUUCCGAAGCCAGAGGAGCCAACUGAAGCUGCGAACAUUGGUCAUGGACUAGGGAGAAAAGUUGGUCCCUCAAGCAGUUGGAUGCAAACGUUGCACCGCAUUUCUUCUCCCAAGUAAUUGGACAUGGAUCUGACGGAGAAGAUACAUAGAAUGUUCUGCAGAUUUGCCUCUGUUGUGAAGUUAGCAUUCCUUGAGUCAGUCAGUGCCAAAUCACGUAAUGUAUUUCUCUUAAGGUACUCGAGCCCUUCAGAGUGUGAACAUGGUAAUCUAGUGUUUCAGAUUAUGAUAUAUGAUGGGUGUAAUUGAUGAAGGGGAUCUAACGGGAAGGUUUUGAAGUCAAUUCAACUGCUUUUUGUAAGAAAUCCAAAUCUUCUUGGUGUUAUUCAUGUGGAGCUUUAUAUUUUGGGGAUUCCAAGUGGAUAAGAGAAGUCAUCAGGAACGCAUGCUUCACCGGGAGAUGGUAUGCAAAGCCUAAAACAGCUGUUCCUCCGAGUAUAGGAGGAAGCUGAUUCACUAGACAAAUUAAUCAGGUGGUACUAUUGCCUUCCUUUCCAUUCUGUUCAAUAAUCGAAUAAUCCACAACCUUUGAUGUUUCAUUGCACCCCUUUCCCAGUUCUUGGAAAAAAUGAGUUGCAAGGUUGCAAUGGCCAACACCUCUCUCUCCGUUCUUACACCUUUUUUAUUUUUAAUUUAAUUUUUUAAUUAUUAUAAGUAGAACACCUCCCCACACCCAGAAGGGAAAGUGUGUGUGUGUGUGUGUGUGUGUGUGUGUGGGAUCUUGAAUCGAAGGUGAAGGUAUGCCAAUUGAGAUGGAAGCUUGGUUUCUCCUCU